AUUGAACGCUGGCGGCAUGCUUUACACAUGCAAGUCGAGCGGCAGCGCGGGGGCAACCUUGGCGGCGAGCGGCGAACGGGUGAGUAAUGCAUCGGAACGUAUCCUCGAGUGGGGGAUAACCCAGCGAAAGUUGGGCUAAUACCGCAUGAGCUCUGAGGAGGAAAGCGGGGGACCUGCGAGGGCCUCGCGCUGGAGGAGCGGCCGAUGCCCGAGUAGCUUGUUGGUGUGGUAAAGGCUUACCAAGGCGACGAUCGGUAGCUGGUCUGAGAGGAUGAUCAGCCACACUGGGACUGAGACACGGCCCAGACUCCUACGGGAGGCAGCAGUGGGGAAUUUUGGACAAUGGGGGCAACCCUGAUCCAGCCAUGCCGCGUGAGUGAAGAAGGCCUUCGGGUUGUAAAGCUCUUUCGGACGGAACGAAAUGGGCGGGACUAAUACUCCUGUCUGAUGACGGUACCGUAAGAAGAAGCACCGGCUAACUACGUG
rnacentral:rRNA from 1 species